GUUUAGGGUUAGUAGGGUUUAGGGUUAGGUAGGGUUUAGAAUUAGGUAUGGUUUAGGGUUAGUAGGGUUUAGGGUUAGUAGGGUUUAGGGUUAGGUAAGGUUUACGGUUAGGUAGGGUUUAGGGUUUAGGGUUAGGUAAGGUUUAGGGUUGGAUAGGGUUCAAGGUUAGGUAGGGUUUAGGGUUAGUAGGGUUUAGGGAUAGGUAGGGUUUAGGGUUAGGUAGGGUUUAGGGUUAGGUAGGGUUUAGGGUUAGUAGGGUUUAGGGUUAGGUAGGGUUUAGGGUUAGUUGGGUUUAGGGUUAGGUAGAGUUUAGGGUUAGGUAGGGUUUAGUGUUAGUAGGGUUUAAUCUCCAAAAAAAAACCAAUUUUUUUUUUUUUUGAAUGGAAUAUUUACGGAAUCCCCAUGAAU
rnacentral:lncRNA from 1 species